GAAAGAUUGUAAAGUUCUUUUGUAAAUGAGGAAUAAGCUUUGUAGGAAAUGACAAAGUGAUGACGUUAAUUUAGGAAUAAGCCCCGGCUAAUUACGUGCCAGCAGCCGCGGUAAUACGUAAGGGGCGAGCGUUGUUCGGGAUUAUUGGGCGUAAAGGGUGAGUAGGCGGAUAUGUAAGUCUAUGUGUUAAAUACCACAGCUCAACUGUGGAACUAUGCUAGAAACUGCAUAUCUAGAGUCUGAUAGGGGAAGUUAGAAUUCCUGGUGUAAGGGUGGAAUCUGUUGAGAUCAGGAAGAAUACCAGAGGCGAAGGCGAACUUCUGGGUCAAGACUGACGCUGAGUCACGAAAGCGUAGGGAGCAAACAGGAUUAGAUACCCUGGUAGUCUACGCUGUAAACGAUGCACACUUGGUGUUAACUGAGAGGUUAGUACCGAAGCUAACGUGUUAAGUGUGCCGCCUGGGGAGUAUGCUCGCAAGAGUGAAACUCAAAGGAAUUGACGGGG
rnacentral:rRNA from 1 species